rnacentral:rRNA from 1 species
UUUAAAGAGAGUUUGAUCCUGGCUCAGGACGAACGCUGGCGGCGUGCCUAAUACAUGCAAGUCGAACGAACGGAGGAAGAGCUUGCUCUUCCAAAGUUAGUGG